AAACUGCUGGCUUAGCCGUUGGCCGAGUUGGCGGCUGGACGAGGACGCUCAGAGCCCAGCUCUCGAGAGUUCAAGCAACCGACGGUUCCCCACUGCUCCCAGGAGCGGUUACCUGGGCACUCUGUGCCCCUCCUUCCUGUUCGGGCCCAGGCCGAGGACCUGCCAGUAGGGCUCAGUUGCCUGGAGCCCGUUCAGCCCAUCCCCCAGUUCACUUUGCUUGUGGGAUCUCCCCGUUGCUCCUGCCCGUGGACUGAGUGGCAGGCCAUCCUACAAGCACCCGGACACUUGACAUCAGUGGUGUCAAGACAACUCUAAGAAGGUUUUCCGUGAUCCUGCAAGCCCUGCCUUCCUUCCUGGGAUCCUGCCUUCAAUUUGAUUGCACAGGUACCACAGCAAGCCAGUGCUGCGUGCUCCGAGUUCCAGGGCGUCCUCCAGCUCAGCCACUGCACUGAGAACAUGGACUCUCUGUGGGGCCCAGGAGCCGGGAGUCACCCCUUUGGGGUCCACAACAGCCGGCUGUCCCCAGACUUGUGUCCAGGGAAGAUAGUGUUGAGGGCCCUCAAGGAGAGCGGGGCAGGGAUGCCUGAGCAGGACAAGGACCCUAGAGUCCAAGAGAAUCCUGGUGAUCAGAGAAGGGUCCCCGAGGUCACCGGGGAUGCACCGUCUGCAUUUCGGCCCCUGCGGGACAAUAGAGGCCUCUCUCCCUUUGUGCCCGGGCCCGGGCCUCUGCAGACAGACCUCCAUGCCCAGAGGUCAGAAAUCAGAUAUAACCAGACAUCCCAGACCUCCUGGACGAGCUCCUGCACCAACCGAAAUGCCAUCUCCAGCUCCUACAGCUCCACGGGAGGCUUGCCGGGGCUAAAGCGGAGGAGGGGGCCAGCCUCAUCCCACUGCCAGCUGACCCUCAGUUCCUCAAAGACAGUGAGUGAGGACAGGCCUCAGGCUGUCUCUUCAGGUCACACCCAGUGUGAAAAGGCAGCAGAUAUAGCACCAGGGUAGACACUCGCCCUCAGGAAUGACUCCUCCACAUCCGAGGCCUCUAGGCCCAGUACACACAAGUUUCCCCUGCUGCCACGCAGGCGAGGGGAGCCUUUGAUGCUGCCACCUCCCUUAGAGCUGGGGUACCGGGUCACUGUUGAAGACCUGGACCGGGAGAAGGAGGCGGCAUUCCAGCGCAUCAACAGUGCACUGCAGGUUGAGGACAAGGCCAUCUCGGACUGCAGACCCUCACGGCCUUCCCACACUUUGUCCUCACUUGCAACAGGGGCUUCUGGUCUGCCUGCCGUUUCUAAAGCACCCAGUAUGGAUGCACAGCAGGAGACACACAAGUCCCAAGACUGCCUGGGCCUACUGGCCCCCUUAGCAUCUGCUGCAGGGGUCCCCUCUACAGCUCCCAUGUCUGGGAAGAAGCACAGACCACCAGGCCCCCUGUUCUCCUCCUCAGAUCCCCUUCCUGCCACCUCUUCCCAUUCCCAGGACUCAGCCCAGGUCACCUCGCUGAUUCCUGCCCCCUUCCCAGCUGCAAGCAUGGAUGCGGGCAUGAGAAGAACAAGGUGUGGCACUUCUGCUCCUGCAGCUGCCGCAGCAGCCCCUCCCCCCUCCACAUUGAACCCCACGUUGGGGUCACUACUGGAGUGGAUGGAGGCCCUUCACAUUUCUGGGCCUCAGCCACAGCUGCAGCAGGUGCCCAGAGGUCAGAACCAGAGAUCCCAGACCUCCCGGACCAGCUCGUGCCCCAAACGAAAUGCCAUCUCGAGCCCCUACCGCUCUACGGGAGGCCUCCCGGAACGAAAGCGGAGAAGGGGGCCAGCCUCAUCCCACUGCCAGCUGACCCUCAGUUCCUGAAACACAUAGGACCCAGGGUGCGUGCCCAUCUCCAGCCCAGGGCAGCUCCCCUGUAAGCUGGGUGAGCUACUGAAGCCAAGGCGGGAGGCAGCUGACAACACCCACAGCCCAUGCGGAGGUGGUGGAAAGGCUGGACUCAGCAGCAACACCAAAUCCUGGACCAGGCAGAAACCACCCAAGACUGAGGGGCUCAUGCCAGAGCGGUGGCCACAGGGCUGAAUGGUCGCUGAGACAGAGAUGGAAGCCAGGACAAGGGAGCCCACCGGGCCCAGAUAGAGACUUCAGAACCCACUCCUGAGAACAGCGGAGCCAGGCGCUUAGAGGAAGACCAAAUGCUGCCAGGACACGGAUUGUCCAGGGAUUACAUUCCAGCAUCUUAUUAGAUGGCCUGAUUAGCCAGAGGUUUCCAGGCCGUCUGUCCGCCUCCAGGAGAUGGACUGGGACCUUUAGACAUCGGUGGAGAACAGGAUGCUCUGUCCCUUGCUGUCCAGGGCAGGGAUGGCCUCCAGCCGCAAGAAGUACAGCAGCACCUCGACCUGCCCUCGCGGAGUGGGGAAGAGGAGAGUGGCUCGGAAGGGGGCGCACAGCUGCUGGUGGGAGGUCUUUGGGGCCCAAGAUCCCAAGUCCACCUCAGGUGCUAGAAACCCCUGCUGGUGUCAUGAACCCCUUACAGUGAGACGGGGGUGGGGUGGGGUCCUGACAAGGCAUGACUUGUUGGGUGGGGGGUGGUUAUUUAUUUUAGAGAUGCACAGGGCCUUGCUCUGUCCCCCAGGCUGGAGUACAGUGGCUCCAUCAUGGAUCACUGCAGCCUCUAACUCCUGGGCUCAAGCAAUCCUCCUGUGUCAGCCUCCCAGAUACCUAGGAUUACAGAUAUGUGCCCCAAUGCCUGCCUAAUUUUUCUUUGUAUUUUUUCUGGAGAUGGGGUUUGCUACAUUGCCCAGACUGGUCUCAAACACCUGGGUUCAGUUGUCCUGCCUCGGCCUCCCAAAGUGCUGGGAUUACAGGCAUGAGCCACCACACUCGAACACUUGGGGUGGUUUUAAGCCCCCAGCAAGGUGCACCAGCAGGACCAGGAGGUGGCCUAGGCACCCCCUAUCACUCCCAUCCAUGCAAACCUAGGCAAGUCCCUGUCUCUGAAUCUCAGCCACCACCACAUACAAUGCAAGUCGGAAGAUGGGCAGGACUGGGGGUGGGGCAGGCAGAGGCCACCUCUGUCAGGCUGGGGUUGCAUGGGCUGGAGGCUGUCUUCCCAUACCUGGGACAUGACCUCCAAGGACCAGCUGUCAGUCAUGGUGAUGGGCUGGCUGGGGUUGGCAGGGAGCUUGCUCUCCUUCUCGGAGGGCCGGAGCAGCGUGGGGCCAAACACCGUGCCAAGGUUGUGCAGGGACAUCUUAUUGACUGCCUCCUUCUCUGCCAUCCUGUAGAGGACCGAAGCAGAGGGUGCUGUUUCAACGCCACCACCAGGAGAGAGGCAGAGGGGCUGUGCCGUGCUAGAGUCCUCAGGGAGGGAGUGACCUCGACCCUGGCUGUGCUGCAAGCUGACUCCAGCCUUGGGGUCAGCAGCACCCGGCGAACAGCAGCAGGAGGAGCCGCUAGAGCAGCUGCUCAUGGGCAGAGCUGCCCUCGGGCAACUCCUGCCACCACCCCCUCCCCAGGGAGCCCAAGGCAGGGGAGGCUCAGCAUGGAAUGAAACAGGGGAGUGAGGGACACAAGGAGGUGGGAAGUGGGAGGGUCCCAGCCCCACCAAGUACGCAGAGACCCCCUCGACAUCCUGGACACCACAGGGGCACCUGCAGGCUGGGAGACCAGGUCCUCUGUGCAUGGGCCCGGGAGGCAGACCUGCCCUAAGGGUGAUGCACAGGCUACAGGUGCUGCACGCUCCAGCGCCCACUCUAGACAUCAGCCUCCAGGUUGACUAAGGGUCAGGUCAUGUUUGAAACCAUGCUUGGCUGGACCAGGACCCAUGGCAAGAGCACCUGGGCACCAGUGUUUAGCCCUGGUCUGCAGGAAGGAGGACAGCAGACUUUAGGACCCCACAGCACGGCAGUGCUGACCAUUUCACCCACUUGGCCUCCUUGAGAAAUAUGGAUGGGGAGCCCUCUGGGGAUGGGCAAGGCCUUCCAGGAUAGGCUCAGUUUUGGUCCCCUGCUUUUUGAGGUUGGGUUAAAAUUCCGACCAUGGCAGAGGAAGCACAGCUCGGGUUCCCACACCUCACUUUUCACAGCCUCUGAGGGCAGCAGUGCACGUGGAGGAGACGUCUCCCAUGAGGCCAAGGCCUCCAGUGCUCACCGAUGCCCUCUGCGAAGUUGGGGUAGAACUCGUCAGUGAAGAGGGGCUCGGGCAGCUCACGGAAGUACAGCUUCAGCAUGCCUGCGAUGGCGUUCACGUCCAUCUCGCUCAUCAUCACUGACACGUCCUUGUUAUCUGGAAAGAGCACGGAAAUGCAGCGGCCUCCUUGAAGAUCCUGAUAAAUGAAGAAAAGACACAGAGAAGGAUGUGACAUGCCUGGGCCAUGGAGCACUCUGAGAUCUCAUCGGGGACACCACUGCCCACACCUCCAUCCCGUCCUGCGCAGGCCGACACUCACUGACGUUGAAGCCUGCCUUCAGUGCCUGGAUGUCUGCGGCCACCCCAGACAUGCGGUAGAUGCCCACCUCCUCCAUGCCUCGGCGCUCGAUCUCCUCCAUGCACUGGCGCACGAUGUAGGGCACCUUGGACCUCUCUCUCCUGCGGGAGGAGGGAAUGUUCUCAGUGUCCUAACAGCCCUGCUUGGGCCAUAACACAGGAGACCUGCUCCCUAUCUGCGCACCCGGAGGUGGGGUGAGGACGGUGACGAAGGUACCCAGGUCUGGGGCUGCACACAGAGCCUUCUGCAUGCCUGUCCUCCCUCUGCAAGCUCUGUCCUCAUUGCAUGUACUUUCUCAGGAACCUUUCAAGCGGCCAGAACCCCUGCGAAUCACACAUGACCUUUGCGGGAAGGUCAGGAGGCCUGUCUAAGUCAAGUCAGCACGGGAAGGGCAUCUGACAGAUUCCAGGCCUGGGGUUAGCAGCCUGUGCCCCCGGCUGGGAGGUCAGACCCGGUGUUGGUCCUGCCACCCACGUGCUGUGUGAGAGGAGAAACCCUGACCCCUGCCCUGGGCCUUAACACACAUCCGACGAAUGAAUGAAGGGUUGCCUCAGCACCGGUGCUCCAAGUCCUGCGAUGCUAAGUGCUUUUCUCCUCUGAGUCUUAGCAAUGGACAAUUCCAAUACCUCCACACAGGACACUAGAGUAAGAAUCCUUCACAGUUAGAACGCAGUGCUGUGCGGAGGCCUUAACUUGAGUUCUGUUUUGCACCUGGAUUUACCAGCACAUCAAAGCUGCUUCGCAAGCCCCCUCAUCAGCAGGGCUUAUGUGGGGGAGCUGCUGAUGGAGUCCUCGCUGCUCAUGCCCACAGCCCUCCCAGAGUGCUAUGCGAGUGGCUGCCGUGCAGUUGGGGGUGGGGCGUGUGUUUAGACACAGAUAGGAGUCCAGGGUAUGACUGAUGGAGGCCCCGGCCCACGUGACCAGCAAGGUCAGAGGCCCAGCCAGAUUCCAUCCUGGGGAAGCAAAUGAAUUCUCAGAGGAAGUGGUCUGUGUCUGCAUGAACUGCUCUCAAACCAACAAAUAGGCUUCUCUUGGCAACUGACUCGUGACAAAGGGUUCAAGAUUGUUUGAAAAAAAAAAAAGGGGGGGGGGAACAGGGAGGCAGUAGGUCCUGGAAAAGUAAAUUCUUUAUUUUACAAUAAGAAAGUGAUUACAUAUUUUAUUUUUUUUACAAUGGUGGAAAAUUAGAAGUGAUUGUGAAAAUGAUGUCUACCCGCCUUGCUGAUGAGUAGGAUGUGAUUUGGCUCUUUAGGAAACUGAAUUUGCAGAACUUAAGAAUAUUGAUUUAUAAAGGGCAUGGCCAUUGACCCAGUCCAUCUUAUGCAAAUCUGGAUGCCAUAAAUAAUAUUUAAAAAUGAAAGUAUUGGGGUGGAGGUUGCAGUGAGCGGAGAUCGCCCCACUACACUCCAGCCUGGUCAACAGAGUGAGACUCUGUCUCAAAACAAAAAAAAAAAAAAAAAGAAGAAGAAGUCAUUCCCAACAUUGCUCAUCAAAUUAUGACCAUAAAUUUCCAGGAUCAGACUAACGGCUAAAGAGACUGAUGCAUCAACACCAGGCAGAGAAUAAAGCAGAUUUUUUUUGUUUUGUUUUGGAGAGCCUCUAGGAACUUGAAAAAUACAUAUGGCACACUCUUAAGACCCGGUGGUUCUUAAUCAGGGAUGUUCAUUAAAAUGCUGGAAAACUGUAAAGACUUCCAGGUCCCAUCCAAGGAGAUUUUGCUUCUGAUUGACUGGCUAGUGGCCUGGCCAUUGGUAUUUUGAAAAAUCCCUCCAAGUGAUUCUUUUACAUCCCAGCUAGAAAACCCUAAAUUAAAGGUGAAAAACCAGACACCAAGUGGCAUUUAAAUAAAUGUCAACUUUAACUCCACAAAGCAUCUGGUUGCACGUGGACAGAAAGAGAAGGAAAGAGGGCCCUAUAUCUGGAUAACUUGGAAAUGUGCUCCCCCUAGCAAGAUAUCUACCAAAAUUAAAACCAUAUUUGAGGAUGCUGGCACUGCGAGCAAUAUAUAAAUGAUGCAUGUAACAUCAUUUAAUAUGAUCUUAUUUUUAAAAAUGAGUAGAGUGGUGUUUUCUAGCUGUUAGUGUUUCCAAAUAUCAAUGUAGAAAUUAGCCUUCUGCAGCUGCAGAGGCAAUUCAGUUUGCAGCUUGCUUGCAUGUGGCCUAGAGCCACCCAGCCUGAUAUGUACUAAUUUUUUGUUUAACUUGCCAGAGUAGAAACUCAGUUUCUGGGCCAGGCAUAGUGGCUCAUGCCUGUAAUCCCAGAACUUUGGGAGGCCAAGGCAAGCAGAUCACAAGGUCGGGAGUUCAAGACCAGCCUGGCUGACAUAGUGAAACCCUAUCUUUGCUAAAAAUACAAAAAUUAGCCCGGCAUGCUGGCAGGCACCUGUAGUCCCAGCUACUUGGGAGGCUGAGGCAGGAGAAUCACUUGAACCUGGGAGGCAGAGGUUGUGGUGAACUGAGAUCAUGCCCCUGCACUCCAGCCUGGGCAACAGAGUGAGACUCCAUCUCAAAAAAAAAAAAAAAAAGAAACUCAGUUUCUGGUUACAUCUGAUCUUUAUUUUUUAUAUAUCAUCUAAGCUAUAAAGUUAUAUUCCCUAUUUGUGAUCUUAAAAGAAGGACUCCAGGAAAGUGUUCAAAUAUUCAUAUAUCUAAACUGGAACAUAUGUUUAUAUUUUUAAAAGUAGCCUGAGAGGUUGGCAACUAAAGUCAUAUGUUGAAUGAUCAUUUCUCAAGAGUUUCAUUUUAUGGUCUUUCUCUUGUUCUGUAAAAUGUGGGCAUGGAUAGAUAUAAAGUGCCUGGUGUCCAUGCUUUUGUGAAAUCCCUUCCUCUUCCAUGUGAAUGGGACCUGUGACUUUCUUCUAACCCAGAGAACACAGCAAAAAUGAUGUGAUUUAUCUGAGUCCAUUGAUGACAUUGAUUACGACUUCCCUUCACCACAUUAUUUAGGACUGCGUCGUAGGAGACUGGGACACAUAUCCACUUUGCUGGCUUGAUGAAGUAAACUGCUAAGUUGAGGAAGCCCACAUGGCAAGGAACUGUGGGCAGCCUUCAGCCAACAGGCAGCAAAAAGCUGAGCUCCUCGGAGCUACAGCCUCAAGGAAGUUACUUCUGCUAACAACCUGAAAAAGCUUGGAAGCUAGUUUCUCUCUAGUGGAAUUUUUAGGGAAGAGCAUGGCCCAGGCAAGAUAAAUAAUGUAAGUGGAAAAACCUGUCAACAAUAAAGGUUUUAAAGGAAAAAACAA
rnacentral:lncRNA from 1 species